CCUACGUGGUGCUGCAGUGGGGAAUAUUGGACAAUGGGCGAAAGCCUGAUCCAGCCAUGCCGCGUGUGUGAAGAAGGCCUUCGGGUUGUAAAGCACUUUCAGUGGGGAAGAAAGCCUUGGGGCUAAUACCCUCGAGGAAGGACAUCACCCACAGAAGAAGCACCGGCUAACUCCGUGCCAGCAGCCGCGGUAAUACGGAGGGUGCGAGCGUUAAUCGGAAUUACUGGGCGUAAAGCGCGCGUAGGCGGUCUGAUAAGCCGGUUGUGAAAGCCCCGGGCUCAACCUGGGAACGGCAUCCGGAACUGUCAGGCUAGAGUGCAGGAGAGGAAGGUAGAAUUCCCGGUGUAGCGGUGAAAUGCGUAGAGAUCGGGAGGAAUACCAGUGGCGAAGGCGGCCUUCUGGACUGACACUGACGCUGAGGUGCGAAAGCGUGGGUAGCAAACAGGAUUAGAUACCCCUGUAGUC
rnacentral:rRNA from 1 species